rnacentral:rRNA from 1 species
UACAGAGGUCCCAAGCGUUGUUCGGAUUUACUGGGCGUAAAGGGUGCGUAGGAGGUUGGCAAAGUCGGGUGUGAAAUCUCACCGCUUAACGGUGAAAUUGCGCUCGAUACUGGUUGACUAGAGUAUCGGAGGGGAAAGCGGAAUUCCUGGUGUAGCGGUGAAAUGCGUAGAUAUCAGGAGGAACACCAACGGCGAAGGCAGCUUUCUGGACGAUAACUGACUCUGAGGCACGAAGGCUAGGGGAGCGAACGGG